rnacentral:rRNA from 1 species
UACAGAGGGUGCGAGCGUUGUUCGGAAUUAUUGGGCGUAAAGGGCGCGUAGGCGGUGCGGUAAGUCACCUGUGAAAUCCCCGGGCUCAACCUGGGAAUGGCCGUUGAAACUGGCGAACUGGAGUGUGGCAGAGGGGGGUGGAAUUCCGCGUGUAGCAGUGAAAUGCGUAGAGAUGCGGAGGAACACCGAUGGCGAAGGCAGCCCCCUGGGCUGACACUGACGCUCAGGCACGAAAGCGUGGGGAGCAAACAGG